AAAUCUGGUACUUUCAGUGCCCGAGUUGUAAUUUGUAGAAUUUGUCUUUGAUUAGGUCCUUGUCUAUGUUCCUUGGAACAGGACGUCAUAGAGGGUGAGAAUCCCGGUUUGGCGAGGAUACCUUUUCUUUGUAAGACUUUUUCGAAGAGUCGAGUUGUUUGGGAAUGCAGCUCAAAGUGGGUGGUAAAUUCCAUCUAAAGCUAAAUAUUGGCGAGAGACCGAUAGCGAACAAGUACAGUGAUGGAAAGAUGAAAAGAACUUUGAAAAGAGAGUGAAAAAGUACGUGAAAUUGUUGAAAGGGAAGGGCAUUUGAUCAGACAUGGUGUUUUUUGCAUGCACUCGCCUCUCGUGGGCUUGGGCCUCUCAAAAAUUUCACUGGGCCAACAUCAAUUCUGGCAGCAGGAUAAAUCAUUAAGAAUGUAGCUACUUCGGUAGUGUUAUAGCUUUUUGGAAUACUGUUAGCCGGGAUUGACGACUGCGCUUCGGCAAGGAUGUUGGCAUAAUGGUUAAAUGCCGCCCGUCU
rnacentral:rRNA from 1 species